UAAAUGGCUGCGGUAAUUUGACCGUACAAAGGUAGCAUAAUCAUUAGUUUAUUAAUUGUAAGCUGGAAUGAAUGAUUGGACGAGAAAGUUACUGUGUCUGGCUGUAACAGUGAAUUUAAUUUUUUAUUGAAAAGGAUAAAAUUUAAUUGAAAGACGAGAAGACCCUGUAGAUCUUUAUUAAUAAGUUAGUUUGAGUUUGGUGUUUAUAAUUUUUAUUUGGUUGGGGUAAUUUAAUUUUGAAAUAUUUUAUUUAUUUGGGACAAUAUUAAGUUUGAUUGUAUGACCUAUUUUAUAGUAAUUUGAUUAAGUUACCUCAGGGAUAACAGCAUAAUUAAGUUUUGGAGUUCUUAUCUGCGAUUUAGUUUGUGACCUCGAUGUUGGAUUAAGAAAAUAUUAUGGUGCAGGAGCUUUAUAAUAAGUCUGUUCGACUUUUAAUUUCUUACAUGAUCUGAGUUCAAAUCGGCGUGAGCCAGGUUG
rnacentral:rRNA from 1 species